GGUACUUUACUGGCCAGAAGUUAUUCCUGUAGCUAACCAAAUGCAAGUACAAAAGUAAGAUAACCGAAUGUUAAAUGUUAUAAAGAGUAAAGUGUUCUAGAGCCUGGAAUUGCAAGUUUUAUGUAAUGCUUCGGGACUGCAUACGGCCCAGUGGCCAUUUCGCUCCUCUCCCUAAGAAGACAGACGUCAAGGGCGACUUAUAUUAAGUUUCUAAGUGGCAGAACAAAUCUAUCGAUCACAUAUCUAUCUACAAAUAAAAAAUUGAAGAAAAGCAGCACGACCCAAAUGGUGAAGGUGUUGGAUUAUUCUACAUGUGGGAUUAUAAAAUGGCAAUUGGAAAGUCACUUGUGAAGUGGAGAAUCUGCAGCAAAAGAUCGUAAAACAAGAGGUGCUCACUUUGCUGCUACAACUUUUCUUCUAUUCAGAA